UUUUUUGAGAGUUUGAUCCUGGCUCAGGAUGAACGCUAGCGGCGUGGAUAAGGCAUGCAAGUCAAGGGGUCCUUCGGAGUCCGCAAGGACGAAGGAGGAAACCGGCGAACGGGUUAGUAACACGUAGAUACUUACCCCAAAGACGGGCAUAAUCCCGCGAAAGCGGGAUUAAUUCCCGAUAGACCCUGAGAGCAAUCGAAGGGUAAAGGAGCAAUCCGCUUUGGGAGAGGUCUGCGGCUCAUCAGCUAGUUGGCAGGGUAAUGGCCUACCAAGGCGAUGACGGGUAGGGGAUAUGAGAGUGUGUUCCCCAACAAGGGCAUUGAGAUACGGGCCCUACUCCUACGGGAGGCAGCAGUCGAGAAUAUUGGUCAAUGGGCGAAAGCUCGAACCAGCGACGCCGCGUGCUUGAAGAAGCCCUUCGGGGUGUAAAAAGCUUUUCUGGGGGAAGAACCUUCGGGUGACGGUACCUCAGGAAUAAAGGGAUGCUAAUCACGUGCCAGCAGCCGCGGUAAUACGUGAUCCCUAAGCGUUAUCCGGAUUUAUUGGGCGUAAAGGGUCCGUAGGCGGUCCGUAAAGUUUUUUGUUAAAUAUCAAGGCUUAACCUUGAAAGUGCAAAAAAAACUAACGGACUAGAGGACGUUAGAGGUUGAUGGAACGGUCGGUGUAGGGGUGAAAUCCGUUGAUAUCGACCGGAACACCAAAAGCGAAGGCAUUCAACUAGGACGAUCCUGACGCUGAGGGACGAAAGCGUGGGCAUAAAAAAGGAUUAGAUACCCUUGUAUACCACGCUGUAAACGAUGGACACUAGCUAUUUCGGAGUGUCGACCCUUCGAGUGGCGAAGCUAACGCAUUAAGUGUCCCGCCUGGGAAGUACGACGGCAACGUUAAAACUCAAAGGAAUAGACGGGGUUCCACACAAGCGGUGGACCAUGUGGCUUAAUUCGACAACAAGCGAAGAACCUUACCAGAGCUUGACAUUCAGCUGAAAUCCCGCUGAAAGGCGGGACUCCCACAAGGCGGCUGAACAGGUGCUGCACGGCUGUCGUCAGCUCGUACUAUGAAGCGUACGCUUAAGUGCGGUAACGAGCGCAACCCUCGUCCUGCGUUACAAGUGUCGCGGGAAACUGCCCGGGAUAACCGGGAGGAAGGCGAGGAUGACGCCAAGUCAGCGUGGCCUUUUGAUGCUCUGGGCGGCACACGUGGUACAAUGGGGCCGACAAUGGGCGAAGCCGUAAGGCAGAGGUAAUCCCAUCAAACGGUCUCUCAGUUCGGAUUGAGGUCUGCAACUCGACCUCAUGAAGUUGGAAUCGCUAGUAAUCGCCGAUCAGCCACGCGGCGAUGAAUAUGUUCCUGGAACUUGUACUCACCGCCUGUCACACCAGGAGAGCUGGCAAUACCCAAAACCCCCGCCCUAGGCGGGGACUAAGGUAAGGUCAGUGAUAAGGGUGAAGUCAUAACAAGGCAUGCGUAGGGGAACCUGUGCAUGGAUCAUUUCAUUU
rnacentral:rRNA from 1 species